rnacentral:rRNA from 1 species
AGUGAACGCUGGCGGUAGGCCUAACACAUGCAAGUCGAACGGCAGCACAGUAAGAGCUUGCUCUUACGGGUGGCGAGUGGCGGACGGGUGAGGAAUACAUCGGAAUCUACUUUUUCGUGGGGGAUAACGUAGGGAAACUUACGCUAAUACCGCAUACGGCCUACGGGUGAAAGCAGGGGAUCUUCGGACCUUGCGCGAUUGAAUGAGCCGAUGUCGGAUUAGCUAGUUGGCGGGGUAAAGGCCCACCAAGGCGACGAUCCGUAGCUGGUCUGAGAGGAUGAUCAGCCACACUGGAACUGAGACACGGUCCCGACUCCUACGGGAGGCAGCAGUGGGGAAUAUUGGACAAUGGGCGCAAGCCUGAUCCAGCCAUACCGCGUGGGUGAAGAAGGCCUUCGGGUUGUAAAGCCCUUUUGUUGGGAAAGAAAAGCAGCAGGUUAAUACCCCGCUGUUCUGACGGUACCCAAAGAAUAAGCACCGGCUAACUUCGUG